CCUACGGGAGGCAGCAGUAGGGAAUCUUCCACAAUGGGCGAAAGCCUGAUGGAGCAACGCCGCGUGGGUGAAGAAGGUCUUCGGAUCGUAAAACCCUGUUGUUAGAGAAGAAAGUGCGUGAGAGUAACUGUUCACGUUUCGACGGUAUCUAACCAGAAAGCCACGGCUAACUACGUGCCAGCAGCCGCGGUAAUACGUAGGUGGCAAGCGUUAUCCGGAUUGAUUGGGCGUAAAGCGAACGCAGGCGGUCUUUUAAGUCUGAUGUGAAAGCCUUCGGCUUAACCGGAGUAGUGCAUUGGAAACUGGGAGACUUGAGUGCAGAAGAGGAGAGUGGAACUCCAUGUGUAGCGGUGAAAUGCGUAGAUAUAUGGAAGAACACCAGUGGCGAAAGCGGCUCUCUGGUCUGUAACUGACGCUGAGGUUCGAAAGCGUGGGUAGCAAACAGGAUUAGAUACCCCGGUAGUC
rnacentral:rRNA from 1 species